CCUGGGGAGUGCGUUCGCAAGGUUGAAACUCAAAGGAAUUGACGGGGGCCCGCACAAGCGGUGGAGCAUGUGGUUUAAUUCGAAGCAACGCGAAGAACCUUACCAGGUCUUGACAUCUUCUGACAAUCCUAGAGAUAGGACUUUCCCUUCGGGGACAGAAUGACAGGUGGUGCAUGGUUGUCGUCAGCUCGUGUCGUGAGAUGUUGGGUUAAGUCCCGCAACGAGCGCAACCCUUAUUGUUAGUUGCCAGCAUUAAGUUGGGUACUCUAGCAAGACUGCCGGUGACAAACCGGAGGAAGGCG
rnacentral:rRNA from 1 species